rnacentral:rRNA from 3 species
CGCGACCCCAGGUCAGGCGGGACUACCCGCUGAGUUUAAGC